rnacentral:rRNA from 1 species
AAGGAUCAUUAAUAAAUGGGCGCAAGCCUUUAUUAUCCUAUACACCUGUGAACUAUUGCCUUCGGGCGUAUCCAAACAUAAUGUAACGAAUGUAAUCUAUUAUAACAAAUAUAACUUUCAACAACGGAUCUCUUGGCUCUCACAUCGAUGAAGAACGCAGCGAAAUGCGAUAAGUAAUGUGAAUUGCAGAAUUCAGUGAAUCAUCGAAUCUUUGAACGCAGAUUGCGCCCUUUGGUAUUCCGAAGGGCAUGCCUGUUUGAGUGUCUUAUAAACCUCACCUCUAAUGUUUUCUCAUUAGUCGUGCUUUGGGUGUUGCCAUUGGCUCGCCUUAAAUGCCUAAGUGGAAUGCGUAAUAAGUUCUCGCAAUCCUCCACUCUAACACUUUUAUAUUCUGACCUCAAAUCAGGUAGGACUACCCGCUGAACUUAA